rnacentral:rRNA from 1 species
GACGUAGGGCGCAAGCGUUGUCCGGAUUUAUUGGGCGUAAAGAGCUCGUAGGCGGCUUGUUGCGUCGUCCGUGAAAUCCCAUGGCUCAACUGUGGGCUUGCGGUCGAUACGGGCAGGCUGGAGUUCGGUAGGGGAGACUGGAAUUCCUGGUGUAGCGGUGAAAUGCGCAGAUAUCAGGAGGAACACCGGUGGCGAAGGCGGGUCUCUGGGCCGAUACUGACGCUGAGGAGCGAAAGCGUGGGGAGCGAACAGG